rnacentral:rRNA from 1 species
GAUGAACGCUGGCGGCGUGCCUAAUACAUGCAAGUCGAGCGAACGGACGUGAAGCUUGCUUCUCUGAUGUUAGCGGCGGACGGGUGAGUAACACGUGGAUAACCUACCUAUAAGACUGGGAUAACUUCGGGAAACCGUAGCUAAUACCGGAUAAUAUUUUGAACCGCAUGGUUCAAAAGUGAAAGACGGUCUUGCUGUCACUUAUAGAUGGAUCCGCGCUGCAUUAGCUAGUUGGUAAGGUAACGGCUUACCAAGGCAACGAUGCAUAGCCGACCUGAGAGGGUGAUAGGCCACACUGGAACUGAGACACGGUCCAGACUCCUACGGGAGGCAGCAGUAGGGAAUCUUCCGCAAUGGGCGAAAGCCUGACGGAGCAACGCCGCGUGAGUGAUGAAGGUCUUCGGAUCGUAAAACUCUGUUAUUAGGGAAGAACAUAUGUGUAAGUAACUGUGCACAUCUUGACGGUACCUAAUCAGAAAGCCACGGCUAACUACGUG